rnacentral:rRNA from 1 species
AGUAGUGCCUAUGCGCUAUUUAGUGGCAAACGGGUGAGUAACACGUAGCUUAGCUGUCCUAAAGUGGGGGAUAGCCGCGGGAAGCCGCGGGUAAUACCGCAUGUGAUCUACGGAUUAAAGCUUAAUGCGCUUUAGGAGGUGGCUGCGGCCCAUCAGGUUGUUGGCGGGGUAAUGGCCCACCAAGCCUAUGACGGGUAUCCGGCCUGAGAGGGUGAUCGGACACAUUGGAACUGAGACACGGUCCAGACUCCUACGGGAGGCAGCAGCUAGGAAUUUUCCGCAAUGGACGAAAGUCUGACGGAGCAACGCCGCGUGAAGGAUGAAGGUCUUUAGGGAUUGUAAACUUCUUUUAUAUGAGACGAGUAAGGACGGUAUCAUAAGAAUAAGUCCCGGCUAACUACGUGCCAGCAGCCGCGGUAAUACGUAGGGGGCUAGCGUUGUUCGGAAUUACUGGGUAUAAAGGGUGCGCAGGCGGAUUUCUAAGCAAGAGGUGAAAUGUCAAGGCUCAACCAUGGCACUGCCUUUUGAACUGGUUAUCUGGAGUACAGAAGGGGAGAGCAGAAUUUCCGGUGUAGGGGUGGAAUCUAUAGAUAUCGGA